rnacentral:rRNA from 1 species
CACGAACGCUGGCGGCAGGCUUAACACAUGCAAGUCGAGCGGCAGCACAGGAGAGCUUACUCUCUGGGUGGCGAGUGACGGACGGGUGAGGAAUAUAUCGGAAUCUACCCUUUCGCGGGGGAUAACCUAGGGAAGCUUACGCUACUACCGCAUCCGAACUGCGGUUGAAAGCGGCGGGCCGCCAGGCGUCGCGCGGACGGAUUGGCCGAUAUCCGAUUAGCUAGCUGGCGGGGUAAAGGCCCACCAAGGCGACGAUCGGUAGCUGGUCUGAGAGGAUGAUCAGCCACACUGGAACUGAGACACGGUCCAGACUCCUACGGGAGGCAGCAGUGGGGAAUAUUGGACAAUGGGCGCAAGCCUGAUCCAGCCAUGCCGCGUGUGUGAAGAAGGCCUUCGGGUUGUAAAGCACUUUUGUUGGGAAAGAAAAGCGGUCGGUUAAUACCCGGUCGUUCUGACGGUACCCAAAGAAUAAGCACCGGCUAACUUCGUGCCAGCCGCCGCCGUAAGAC